rnacentral:rRNA from 1 species
UGGGGGAUAUUGCACAAUGGGCGAAAGCCUGAUGCAGCGACGCCGCGUGGGGGAUGAAGGCUUUCGGGUUGUAAACCUCUUUCGCUAUCGAACAAGGCCCGCUUAGGGUGGGUUGAGGGUAGGUGGAGAAGAAGCGCCGGCUAACUACGUGCCAGCAGCCGCGGUAAUACGUAGGGCGCGAGCGUUGUCCGGAAUUAUCGGGCGUAAAGGGCUUGUAGGCGGCUUGUUGCGCCUGCUGUGAAAACGCGGGGCUUAACUUCGCGCGUGCAGUGGGUAUGGGCAGGCUUGAGUGUGGUAGGGGUGACUGGAAUUCCAGGUGUAGCGGUGGAAUGCGCAGAUAUCUGGAGGAACACCGAUGGCGAAGGCAGGUCACUGGGCCAUUACUGACGCUGAGGAGCGAAAGCAUGGGUAGCGAACAGG